AUAGCGAAAACGAUUUGGUACAUCACUUCGCCAAUUUGCUGCAGUGUUCUCAGGAUGGAAAGGAGAAUAUUUCCGUAAAAGCUAUUCAAGAACUUUUUAAUAAAAAAUACGGUGAAGUUGUGAAAAAGAAAAACGGGAAAAUGCCAUAUUCGAAAAUUCAAGAAUAUGGUAUUGCUUUUAUCGGACUUCCAGCUCAUCUGGAGAUAGAUA